CCCGCACAAGCGGUGGAGCAUGUGGUUAAUUCGAAGCAACGCGAAGAACCUUACCAGGUCUUGACAUCCCGAUGCUAUUCUAGAGAUAGAAAGUUACUUCGGUACAUCGGUGACAGGUGGUGCAUGGUUGUCGUCAGCUCGUGUCGUGAGAUGUUGGGUUAAGUCCCGCAACGAGCGCAACCCCUAUUGUUAGUUGCCAUCAUUCAGUUGGGCACUCUAGCGAGACUGCCGGUAAUAAACCGGAGGAAGGUGGGGAUGACGUCAAAUCAUCAUGCCCCUUAUGACCUGGGCUACACACGUGCUACAAUGGCCGGUACAAAGAGUUGCGAUACCGCGAGGUGGAGCUAAUCUCAUAAAGCCGGUCUCAGUUCGGAUUGGAGUCUGCAACUCGACUCCAUGAAGUUGGAAUCGCUAGUAAUCGCGGAUCAGCACGCCGCGGUGAAUACGUUCCCGGGCCUU
rnacentral:rRNA from 1 species